AUUGAACGCUGGCGGUAGGCUUAACACAUGCAAGUCGAACGAGCGGCGGACGGGUGAGUAAUGUCUGGGAAACUGCCUGAUGGAGGGGGAUAACUACUGGAAACGGUAGCUAAUACCGCAUACCAUCAGAUGUGCCCAGAUGGGAUUAGCUGGUAGGUGGGGUAAUGGCUCACCUAGGCGACGAUCCCUAGCUGGUCUGAGAGGAUGACCAGCCACACUGGAACGUCGACACGGUCCAGACUCCUACGGGAGGCAGCAGUGGGGAAUAUUGCACAAUGGGCGCAAGCCUGAUGCAGCCAUGCCGCGUGUGUGAAGAAGGCCUUCGGGUUGUAAAGCACUUUCAGCGGGGAGGCGUUACUCGCAGAAGAAGCACCGGCUAACUCCGUGCCAGCAGCCGCGGUAAUAC
rnacentral:rRNA from 1 species